AUCCAGCUGGCGAGUCCCAAGUAAGACUAAACGCUCGUCCUGGAU
rfam:Schistosoma curassoni strain Dakar, Senegal genome assembly, scaffold: SCTD_scaffold0001058